CAUCCUGUGGUUAUGCUCAGUCUCCUGAGCUUGUCAGGCAUAACAUGUGGCCCCUUUUCUGUCCACACCACCAUGGCUCCUGCGAUGAAAUCUUCAGGAGGGCGGGGCACUUGUCUGUCAAUCAAACCGAUGUCUGUGCGGCCACCGCAGGACCUGGGCACAGAAGCACGUGCUGAAUGCUGGAGGCCCGCCAGGCUUUGCCCUCUGCCCACACCUGACUUUUCACCCGUGCAGCACCGGCUCGCGGAGUGCAGGCCACCUCGGCCUCUGGCCCCUCGGCCAGGAGCUCUGACGACCAGCCCCGAGCCACGCAGGCCCAGGGCGCCCCAGCCCGGCCGCUGCCGCUUCUUCCGGACACCGAAGCUCCCGGAGCCGCUUCUGCGCUGGAGCCCGUCUUGGCGGAGGGGGGAGGGGGGUCCAGGGAGCAUCGCCGUCAUAAGGCCCGUGUGCUCCGUGCCUCUGCGUUUGGGACACGGGAAGGUUUUAUCCCUUGGGAGAGUUCUAGUUUUCUGAAAUCCGUCUUAAGAAAGUCCUGAGUUCAACGUCUUUAGCCAGGAGAAGGGAGGGGGGCGGGCAAGAGAUGGGGGAGAUUUCCUGACAGCCAGACGCCCGCAGAGUCCCAGGAACAGCAGGAAGUCUCCAAAUCUCUGUUCCCAGGCGGUCCCCGACCCCGCUGAGCCGCGUCUGCUCCUGAGAGUCUUACAAAUCUCUCAUCAACAGUCGAGGCUGUGCAUCUGUCCCCCCACCUAUUCAGGAGGCUGUUUUUGGAGCAUUCCGCUCGCAAUGAGCAAAUCUACAACAGGAACCGUUCGCCGUAAGGUAGGAGAACGCGCGCUAGAAUGGACGUCAGAGUCAGGCAGCAGAAGCAGCGCGUCCCGACACGUUCACAGGAGGACGCGCGGCGCCCUCGGGGCGGCACAGCGGGGACGGGGCUCGGGGAUCUUGCCGCGACCGGUGCUGGGGUGCAGCGCCCCGAGGCCCCUCCCCUCUGCCGCUCCUCCGACAUGCGGUCCCUGCGCCCCGCCCCUGCAACCCAUCCCCGCGGCCCCCACCCCCUGCUGCUGCUCUGCGCCCCGGAGGCCUCUCCGCCUGCAGCCCCCGCGUCCCCCGCGGUGCGGUCCGGGAGGGCCCCGCUCGCCCCGCCCCUGUCCCGCCCGCGGGCCCCGCCCCGCCCCCCGGAGAUUCCUCGCGCCCGGGACUGAUCCGCGCGACACGGGGUGGCCCGGGAGGGGGGAGGCGGGCAGUGGGGUUGUCCCUGGCGGAGGGACCCAGGGACCGAUCCGCCGAGGAGCGGCCAGAUGCGGGCCGCCUGGGGACACUCCAUGGCCCGUUCCCUUCCGACCCCCGACAAGGCCAAUUCUUUUCACCUUUUCUUUUUUUAAGGUUGGAGGCAUCGGCAGCGGGCUGGGAGGAGGUGAGACCCACUGGCCGGGCUCUGAGCAUCUUCCUGGGCCACGGAGGCUUCACUCCCCCGCCCCAAGACUCUCCCUUUGUAAAUGGUGGGCUCCUCAGAGGCGCUUUGGGGGUGAGGGGGGUCUCAGAUCUGUGCAGCUGGCGUCCUCACAAGCUGCCAGGAGGUGGUGGGUGGUACUCGAGGCGCCCAGGGCUUGGCAGGCCGCCCUGCCAGGCAGCUCCGCCCCAGGCUUGUGGGACGCUGUGCGACCAUCGUGGGGGAGGUUGGACGGAAGGUUACUGAGCAAGUGACUGAAGCCCUCAGGAGCCCAGUUCUCGUCCCUCGCCAGCUUCUGGUGGCUUUGUCCAAGCAGGACAACUCUGAGCCACAGUGUGCAUCUGCUGGGAACACCUUCCGCUGCAGUGACCGGAGCCCACCCAGCAGCCCACCCACUGUCCCCAGCCGGAAUAGAGCAGGAUUGACUGCCCUUCCACCAGGAGCUCCCUGGUGGGUUGCUGGCGUGCACUCAGAGACUGCACCAUCAGGGCUGGGGUUGCAAGGUAGCUGCUGCAGCUCCAGCCAUCACAUCAACGCAGGAAGGAGGUGACUGCUGUUUGUCUCAUGAAAAGCAAAAGUGCCCACCCUCCACCACCCCAGCUGCACCUCCCUGUGCCUUGCGCACAUCUGGGUGACACAGGAAAGCAGGGGUCAGGGGAUUAAGCUUGCGUUACCCCAUGACUGUCACUUAGGGCAGGCACCUUGCUACCUGGAACAAGACAAAGAUUCUGCCCACAGGAGGGAAGGGGUGGGCGCAAGGUAGGUAGCUCACAGAGAUGACCCACGGCCCCUCUCUGGGACACACCCUGGGAAAGGCGAGCCCACACUCUGCAAAUGCUUGACCUCCCUCAGGCCCAAGCAGCCGCCUCUGAGCCAGUGCCCCCACCGAUGACAGGCUUUGUGGCCCAGGGACAGGCUCCAUCCUUCCUCCCCGCUGGCCUGGGGUUCGGGAAGGACGAACAUGAGGCGUGGCAGUGGGUAACACCUGCCUGGCUUUCUGACUUUCUGGGUGGGCUUGUAGCAGCUAAGUGGCCCACUGUGACUUUAAGCCUCUGUGUCCAAGAUCUCCUGGGAUCAAGGUCAGUGUUUCUGAGGCCGGUGGGGGCUGAGCCAAGUCUCAGCCCCGAGAAAUGAGAGGCCUGCUGCUGCCCGCCUCCCUGCCUCCCAGCUCUUGGACCCCCAGCAGGCCCAGGGCCUUGCUCUACAGCGAAGUCAGUCCUCAACGCCUGCCUCCAUCUCCCCACCCGCGCGCUGCAGCCCCCAGCCCCCAGCAUGCAGCUGCAGGACAGUGGCGUCCAGUACAGCCGGUGGGACGACAGCAGCCGGGAUGAAGUCAGCGUGGCGGCUGUGUCCAGCACAGAAGAGGCCUCGAGCUGGGAGAGCUGUCACCCUAGGUUCUCCCAGAAGCUGCGCUCCGGCAAGCUGGGCCUCGCCAUGAAGGCGCUAGGGGGCAUGGCCGUCUUCUGGGCCGUCUUCAU